GACCAACUGAAGAGUUUUUUUUCGAAAUUGAGAUAGCGAUUGAUUUAGAUAGUAGAUAGCAUCAAAGUUAGUUCCUAAAAAUUUGAGAUUUUAGAAAAGCGUAUUUAUAUUAGAAAAAGUAAUUUGAAAGUGUAAAAAAUAACGAGAUUUGAAAAUCAGCUUCAAUGGCCGAAACCGGAAGUGACGUAUUGUAAUGGACUGAGAAAAUGUAAAUAAAAAUAGACAUGGCUGGAUACGUUAUUGAUAGCGAUUCAGAUGAUAAAUUUAUCUAAAUCUAGCUGUCCAACAAUUUUAAAUGAUACUUAUCAUGGGAUGCACCAAAAUGCCAUGAAGAGAACUCUUCUACUUUUUCAAAAUAUAUUCUAGAGCAGACUAUUGAAUUAAUAUAAUUAUAGAUAGAUUAUAAUAAUAGGACUAGUUUCUAGAUUAUCACUAGCACUAGGUCACUAGAAAUCUAGAUCUACUACUCAGAUCUAGACUCUAGAGUGACUCUAGAGUCUAGACCUAGUCUACUCUAGUAGUAGUCUCUAGUAUCAUCAAGUACUAGUAGAUCAUCUAGGACUAGGUCUAGGUAUACUAUACUUAGACUAUACUAAGUCUAAUAGUUAUAACAAAACUAAAUGAAAACAUAUAUGACAUGUGGCAUACAGACAAGUUUACUAGAUGGAUCUUUCAUCAUUUUGGAAAUACAAUAUUCCCUGUGAAACAAAUCACAGAAACAUUCUACAAUUUUAUUUUAUAUAAUAAAUACCAAUAAAUGUAAAUACAAAAUCACA